GGUAAGUGGCCGAUGAAGGCAAUAGAUUGUAAAUCUAUUUAUGUGAGCUGUCACCUUAUCU
rnacentral:tRNA from 1 species